rnacentral:lncRNA from 1 species
AGCUUCUUCCAGUAUGGUGGUGGCAAGAAAAGGCGGCAAGCUUCUGGAUAAUUCUUCUUGUGGCGGUGGAGAUGAUUUUUAUAUAGAUUCUAGAUUAUACUCUAAUGUUGGUAGCUAAGCUUGAUGAAGGUUUUAGAAAGUCGAUGAUGUUUUAUUCAUGUAAGUAACAUUCUGUAUGUUGCCAUUAUGAGAUAUUAUAGCACUUAGUCCUUAUACAUGACAAUUUUCCAGUCGGUUUAUCGGAUGUUGGUCGGAGAUGGAGAAGCGACUAA